CACGUGGGUAACCUGCCCAUAAGACUGGGAUAACUCCGGGAAACCGGGGCUAAUACCGGAUAACAUUUUGAACCGCAUGGUUCGAAAUUGAAAGGCGGCUUCGGCUGUCACUUAUGGAUGUAGCUAGUUGGUGAGGUAACGGCUCACCAAGGCAACGAUGCGUAGCCGACCUGAGAGGGUGAUCGGCCACACUGGGACUGAGACACGGCCCAGACUCCUACGGGAGGCAGCAGUAGGGAAUCUUCCGCAAUGGACGAAAGUCUGACGGAGCAACGCCGCGUGAGUGAUGAAGGCUUUCGGGUCGUAAAACUCUGUUGUUAGGGAAGAACAAGUGCUAGUUGAAUAAGCUGGCACCUUGACGGUACCUAACCAGAAAGCCACGGCUAACUACGUGCCAGCAGCCGCGGUAAUACGUAGGUGGCAAGCGUUAUCCGGAAUUAUUGGGCGUAAAGCGCGCGCAGGUGGUUUCUUAAGUCUGAUGUGAAAGCCCACGGCUCAACCGUGGAGGGUCAUUGGAAACUGGGAGACUUGAGUGCAGAAGAGGAAAGUGGAAUUCCAUGUGUAGCGGUGAAAUGCGUAGAGAUAUGGAGGAACACCAUUGGCGAAGGCGACUUUCUGGUCUGUAACUGACACUGAGGCGCGAAAGCAUGGGGAGCACACAGGAUUAAAUACCCUGCUAGUCCACGCCGUAAACAAUGAAUGCUACCUGUUAGAAAGUUUCCUCCCUUUAUUGCUGAAGUUAACUCAUUAAUCACUCCCCCUGCCGGGUACAGGCCGCGCGGCUGGGAACUCAAAAGAAAAUGAAAUGGACCGCGGCCCCAGCCUUUUGCAGCAGAAAGAUGUAGUUAAAAUCAGAGCCACGAGCAUUAACAGGGACGUGGGGUCGUCUG
rnacentral:rRNA from 1 species